rnacentral:sRNA from 1 species
GCUAAUGCUAAUUUAAAUAGACUUCUGCAUGUAUACUUCGAAGUAUUAUAAAUACAUUUCUGCUUUAUAAAACUGAUCAAAUGAGAAGUGAUCAUUGAGUAGUUAACCACUUCCUAUCUGGUAUUACAGUUAAUUUAUGUGCUCAACAACAACAAAAUUUGCUCCAGAUAGCUACUUGAAGUAACCUAUAGUCAUAACUGCCAGGGAGAAUAUUGUCACAAGUUGAAUCUGGAAAGGCAUUGUAAGGCCAGUGUACUAAGAUUUUGAUGACUCUACGAAUUAUAUUUUCUGAACUUGUGGAUAUACGUUGCACUAUGAUUAGGUGGUUUUUGCUAAAUUGGGCAAUAAAAGUUAAAGAACCAUGAUUUCCAAAGACAUAAAACAGCCUCAUGUUAAGAAUAAGCCUCUUCCUCCUUUAUGGAAGAGAGAUUUAAAAUUGUGCAGAUGGUAUAAUGAAAAUUCUCUGUAAAAUCUAGGUAGUAAAGUGGUUAACGUAUAAUUUGAUUUUUGUUGUAUAACAAUUUGUGAUUCAAAAGCUUUUUAUUUUGACAGAUGAUCUUCCAAAACCCAAGACUACUGAAGUAAUUAGGAAAGGCUCAAUUACUGAAUACACAGCAGCAGAGGAAAAAGAAGAUGGACGACGCUGGCGUAUGUUCAGGAUUGGAGAACAGGACCACAGGGUUGAUAUGAAGGCAAUUGAACCCUAUAAAAAAGUUAUCAGCCAUGGGGGAUAUUAUGGGGAUGGAUUAAAUGCCAUUGUUGUGUUUGCUGUCUGUUUCAUGCCUGAAAGUAGUCAGCCUAACUAUAGAUACCUGAUGGACAAUCUUUUUAAAUAUGUUAUUGGCACUUUGGAGCUAUUAGUAGCAGAAAACUACAUGAUAGUUUAUUUAAAUGGUGCAACAACUCGAAGAAAAAUGCCCAGUCUGGGAUGGCUCAGGAAAUGUUAUCAGCAAAUUGAUAGAAGGU